UCAGCAUGACUGGAUCAGGUCUCAAUGUCUGGCAAUAUUGAUCAAUAAGAUACAGUAUAAAAGGUCUCCCAGAAGGGAGCUUUGCAUUCACAACAGCUGUGAUAGUCUUCCAGCACUCUGCUUGGUGAAUCAGAUCUGAAACCAGAAAGGAUGUGCUCUCGUCAGGAUAAAGAUCAAUGCCACAAACAGGAAAAGGAAGAAAGUUCCUGCUGCGGGAGCCGGCGCUCUUCCAGCCCUGAGAAGGAUAGUUCCUGCUGCCGUGAACGGAGGAACAGUGGAGGAUGCCACGGUAACCGGGAGCCUUCUUGCUGUGUUCCUGGGAAGCCCCAGGUGCAGCAGCAGCAGCAGAUGCAGCAGCAGCAGCAACAGCAAGUCUUCCAGGUGCCAUGUCAAAAGCUGAAGUAGCCACAAGAAUUCUUAUAAGAGCAUAGGAUGAAAAAUGGCACCACUUCAUCACACCACCUGUGACCCCCUUGAACAUAUCCUGUUGGCACACAAAUCCCAGUGAAAUUGUGUCAUACGAAGGAGGCUUUCCAUCUACAUUUCUCUACAUUCCAUCUACAUUCCAUCUUCCUCAGGGGACCACAGCAUCAAAGCAUGAAUGCAUUUAAUUAUCAAAAUCCAAUUAUUUGUUUCCUGGUUGGCAAUGACUGCCCAAUUGCAUGAAUAAAUUGAUAACUUAUAAAAACCUUUGA